AGUUCAGACCUACUGCUAGAACAACUGGCCGUAGAAAUUUUACCCCUUUCUCCAGGGACCUUUCUGGAAUUAUCUUGAAUUUGAAGAUUCCUGACAUCCUCAGUCUUGAUGAUCAUCAUAAAUCUCUAUGUUCAGAUCUAAGCCACAGCUACUCUCAACAACUGGACUAGUGGGGCUGCAGUUUCCUGCAACAUUACAAAACCCAACACCUUGGAAUGGCUGGAGUAUGGGAGAUCCAGGCUGCUGUGACAUUUUCUUCCCAGUGUCUUCAGCAGGAACUCCAAUGUAUCCUGAUAUGGACCCUAUGAAAAAAAACCACAGAGACUCAACCUGCACUCAAGAAUACCAAAAGUAGAGGAAAACAGUAAAUACACAUCAGCAAAGAUGGCCCAUUUAUUCAAGUGUCAUGAACUAUAAUAUUUUUGGAAUGCAUCAUAAAAAAUAUGCAAUCUCCAAUAUCUUAAAAUGAUAUGCUUCAGAAAAUGCAUGAGUGCUUAAAAAGAAUAAACUGCAAAAAAUCUGUAAAAUUAUGGUAGUUAUAGCUCACAUAUACAAAUGAGAUUAUAACAUGAGUAAUUUGGUUACAGGAAUCAAAGCUAUUCCAACACAAAAGGGUUUAAAUAUUUUUAC